rnacentral:rRNA from 1 species
UGGGGAAUUUUGGACAAUGGGCGAAAGCCUGAUCCAGCAAUGCCGCGUGUGUGAAGAAGGCCUUCGGGUUGUAAAGCACUUUUGUCCGGAAAGAAAUCCUUGGCUCUAAUACAGUCGGGGGAUGACGGUACCGGAAGAAUAAGCACCGGCUAACUACGUGCCAGCAGCCGCGGUAAUACGUAGGGUGCAAGCGUUAAUCGGAAUUACUGGGCGUAAAGCGUGCGCAGGCGGUUUGCUAAGACCGAUGUGAAAUCCCCGGGCUCAACCUGGGAACUGCAUUGGUGACUGGCAGGCUAGAGUAUGGCAGAGGGGGGUAGAAUUCCACGUGUAGCAGUGAAAUGCGUAGAGAUGUGGAGGAAUACCGAUGGCGAAGGCAGCCCCCUGGGCCAAUACUGACGCUCAUGCACGAAAGCGUGGGGAGCAAACAGGAUUAGAUACCCUGGUAGUCCACGCCCUAAACGAUGUCAACUAGUUGUUGGGGAUUCAUUCCUUAGUAACGUAGCUAACGCGUGAAGUUGACCGCCUGGGGAGUACGGUCGCAAGAUUAAAACUCAAGGAAUUGACGGGGUCAUAGCUGUUUCC